AAGGAUUUAAGUUAAGUAAAACUUAGAACCUUCAAAGUUCUCUAUAAAGAUAUCUUUAAGCCUUA
rnacentral:tRNA from 1 species